rnacentral:rRNA from 1 species
AGACCCGAAACCCGGUGAUCUAGCCAUGGGCAGGUUGAAGGUUGGGUAACACUAACUGGAGGACCGAACCGACUAAUGUUGAAAAAUUAGCGGAUGACUUGUGGCUGGGGGUGAAAGGCCAAUCAAACCGGGAGAUAGCUGGUUCUCCCCGAAAGCUAUUUAGGUAGCGCCUCGUGAAUUCAUCUCCGGGGGUAGAGCACUGUUUCGGCAAGGGGGUCAUCCCGACUUACCAACCCGAUGCAAACUGCGAAUACCGGAGAAUGUUAUCACGGGAGACACACGGCGGGUGCUAACGUCCGUCGUGAAGAGGGAAACAACCCAGACCGCCAGCUAAGGUCCCAAAGUCAUGGUUAAGUGGGAAACGAUGUGGGAAGGCCCAGACAGCCAGGAUGUUGGCUUAGAAGCAGCCAUCAUUUAAAGAAAGCGUAAUAGCUCACUGGUCGAGUCGGCCUGCGCGGAAGAUGUAACGGGGCUAAACCAUGCACCGAAGCUGCGGCAGCGACACUGUGUGUUGUUGGGUAGGGGAGCGUUCUGUAAGC